UAUGUAUCUCACAGCGGUUUAUGGAAUGAGAGAUGUAGUAAUAAGUUUUCUCUCUCACCUUGUGAACCCACUGUUAAAGGUUGCUGUUACGACAAUAACUGCCGCCUCCAGUAUGUUUGAGAGUUUAUAAACUUGUGUCACAUGACAAGUGUUGCUGGCAGACAUUAUAACAGAGGGAACACUUUACAUGCUUAAAGGAUUAUUCCUGGGAAAAUUCAGGGUAUUGAAAAUUUCUAGAAAUUUUGUUUCCGAUUCGAAAUAUACUUAGGUGCAAACUUCAAGUAUGGGUGAAGCUGCAACCUCUAAUAUGGUGUGUGUUUAUAUAUCAUGUAGUGACAUUGUACUUUAAAGAUCCUUGGUUUUUGUGCUAAUGUAACUAUGUAAGGUUGGAAGUGUAAGGCAAGAUUUGUAUCUUGCUACAUGAUGAAGCUGUGGUUUUCUGAUGGCAUUUGUUCCCACUAAUAUAUUAAAAGAGCUACUAUUGCAUUAGGUGAUGCGGUGUCAGCCGGUUGUAUCUAUAAUUAAAAUAAAAAUGUUUUAGAAUUUCUGUAUGAAUUAACCUCCUCAACGUUUAGUGCCGCAGCCCUAAAGGGCAUUAUAGCGACGGCGUGGUAUUUAUGUUGAAAAUAAAACAUAGGUAAAUGCUACGUAAUACAACGGCCCUAAUGUAGAUGAAAUUACAGUAGCCUAGGUAAUGUCUAAUUGUAGAAGUAAAAAUGUACAUAUUAUUUAUAUAGAAUAAUCUUUGAGCAAUUUACCUAAAUAUGUUUUAUUCUGCAGCUGUGGCCUCUAUUCGGUGGAUGUCUGACCAAACCUGAACGAGGAAGAUAUUUUAUGUACUUCUGAUUAUGUUCUGCCCAGCUGUCUCUGUUCCUGUAGUGUGAUCACAUUUCAGCACCUUUUGAUUUGUAGAAUCAAUAUAUCCUGAGUUGUGGUGUCAGUAAUUUAUUUGUAGCACAAUAUCUUACAUAGAGACCAUAUGACUUUGGGAACGUUACGGGACCAAGUCAUUUACCCAGACACUCCAGAACACCGGAAACGUAAAGGUAUUCCUGAUAAGGUAUUGAAGGAAUACCUUGACAAUGUGCAGCUGGGUUUGGAACGUGAAGGCGGCUGGGACAGUGUUCAAGACUGGAUGUACUGAGUGGGGGCGAAAAGCAGAGGAUGGCAAUGGCAAGAUAAUUUUACCAUGUACCCCAGUUUGCCAUUUUGGACGAGUGCACUAGUGCGGUUAGUAUGGAUGUAGAAGGUUUAUAUCUAUGACCACUGCAGAAAGCACGUUUCCUCUUUCAACUGUGAACAAAGCUAUUCCAACCUAAGAGGAUAAGAAAAGGGAGCACAGUGUCACACAGAAAGUCCCUAUGGAAGCACCACGAGGUAAAUCUUUUAAACAUUUCAUGAAAGCACUGCA